rnacentral:tRNA from 1 species
GGGCCGGUAGCUUAGCUUGGUGGAGCGCUUGACUUUUAAUCAGGAGGUCGGGGGUUCAAAUCCCCUCCGGCCCG